AUUGAACGCUGGCGGCAUGCUUUACACAUGCAAGUCGAACGGUAACAGGUUAAGCUGACGAGUGGCGAACGGGUGAGUAAUGCAUCGGAACGUGCCCGGUCGUGGGGGAUAACACUUCGAAAGAAGUGCUAAUACCGCAUACGAUCUAAGGAUGAAAGCGGGGGACCGUAAGGCCUCGCGCGAUUGGAGCGGCCGAUGUCAGAUUAGGUAGUUGGUGGGGUAAAGGCUCACCAAGCCGACGAUCUGUAGCUGGUCUGAGAGGACGACCAGCCACACUGGGACUGAGACACGGCCCAGACUCCUACGGGAGGCAGCAGUGGGGAAUUUUGGACAAUGGGCGCAAGCCUGAUCCAGCAAUGCCGCGUGCAGGAAGAAGGCCUUCGGGUUGUAAACUGCUUUUGUACGGAGCGAAAAGGCUCUCUCUAAUACAGGGGGCUGAUGACGGUACCGUAAGAAUAAGCACCGGCUAACUACGUGCCAGUAGCCGCGGUAA
rnacentral:rRNA from 1 species